rnacentral:rRNA from 1 species
GUCCACGCCGUAAACGAUGUCAACUAGCCGUUGGAAUCCUUGAGAUUUUAGUGGCGCAGCUAACGCAUUAAGUUGACCGCCUGGGGAGUACGGCCGCAAGGUUAAAACUCAAAUGAAUUGACGGGGGCCCGCACAAGCGGUGGAGCAUGUGGUUUAAUUCGAAGCAACGCGAAGAACCUUACCAGGCCUUGACAUCCAAUGAACUUUCCAGAGAUGGAUUGGUGCCUUCGGGAACAUUGAGACAGGUGCUGCAUGGCUGUCGU